GUCUGCUUGAUUUAUAAAAAAUAACGUCCUGUCGUUUAGCCCAAUACACCAACGUAGUAAACCAGUUCAAUAUUAUUUUGAAUAUAUCUAUUUACAGAAAAUGUCUACCUUGGUUAUAACGCGCCCUAAAGAGAUAAAAAGUUCCCUGCAAAGCCUGGUUUUAAAACGACUUCAGAAUUCUAAAAAUGAAAUAGAUAUGAAAUCGCUGUGGGAAAAAGAGGAAAAAAAAUAUGAGCUUUCGCGCGAUGAAAUAGAGAAAAUUACAGCAAGAAAGAUGCAGAAUAAAAAAGCAGCAAGAAAAAGUCGCGAAAAGUUCAAAAACCGGAUACAAUUACUGGAACAGGAGCACGCUAAGUUAUCUGAAGAAAACGGAAAAUUAAUGGUGGAAAUCAGAAAAUUAAAAGAAGAAAUAAAGAUGGUUAGGCAAAUAAAUAGUUCCUGAUUCACAUAGAGAACCACCUUGUCGUAACCGCUAUCUCUAACAUAUCAAUCCUACCCGUGGCUCUACUACACAGUACACACUAUCGUUGGGAGCGGUGACCCAGAGCCGUCUGUACUUUUGACAGGAGGCGUAAUUAUAUCAACAGAGUGGCACAGGUAGUGCAUAUUCUUGAAACCAUGGAUACGAAUAUUACACUAUCAAAAACAUGCAUUAUGGUCGCGUGUUUGAUUAGUCUACAAAACGUAAUUAGACAAUCAGUUUGUUUCGGCGGACUAUUCUUGUCUUCUUGAUUUAAUAAUCGAAAUACACAAAAAAUGUUUUAACACCAGCUAAUGAAAUAGUACUCUUGUGACCACUGCUUCUGGAUAUACGGGUGGACAUGAUAUGUUAGAGACCGCAAGACUGACUUCAGCAACAGUAAGAUGCAAUACUAUAUAACCCCUAUUUAUACCGGUAUAUGAUAUUAGACACAUAAUAGCUUAUUUCUGUGAUAUCAACGCAUAAUUUAUCAACAUGUAUAUUAUAAAUGCAAAUUAUAUAUUUAUUUAUUAAGUAGUGUGUAAUGUGACGGCAAACAUAGUAGAAAUCCAAAUAUAGAAACUAUCAUUAUAUGAACAUAACCAAAAUAUUACAUUAUAAUGUUCUCCAAUUCAUCGCCACAUAUAUAUUUAGAAUUGAAGAGAGUAUAAGAUCCAUUAUAUGGACAUUAACUCUAAUAUUGCAUAUUACGAAGAAAAACGAUUUUUCAUACCAAUAUCAUAUGGUCAAUCUAUUUAUAUCUAUUAUGUCAGAUGACGUUUUUAAUUUAUUUGUGUAUUAUCAUAUCAUAAUAAUAAAUAAUGUCUUAAAAUAUA